UCAAGCCACAGUGUAGGUGGUCCUUCCAAGAAAGGGUUCUUGUAUCUUCCUGUAAAGUGCUUUCACUAACAUGUCUAAUUUGUUUGCUGCAGAUGGCUUUGGGGAGAAAGGAAAACCAGCCUCAGGUGAUGGAGGAGCGGUCCCACCUAAUGCUACACUGCAAAUUAGCUUGGAGUUGGUAACAUGGAAGACUGUCUCAAGUGUAACUGACGAUAAGAAACUUCGCAUUCUGCACUAUGAUCCUAGGGGAUUUAUCGGUUAUAGAAGAACUGAAAUAGGUUUACGGCAUGUAUGUUGAUGUUUACCGUGUGUAUUCAAUAUUAUAUGUGAGUGAUUGAUAGUUGAUAUUCACACACAUAUAUAUGUGUUUCUGUUUAUGUGUGUAUCUGGAAGAGGGUAUUAACAGUUUGAUUUAUAAGCAGUUUAUUCAGUGAUUCUAGAUUUGAGUUCGUUUUUACUAGUUACAGGAGAUUAUUGAUUAAUAUAAGCUCUAUCAAAACCAAGAACUGAAGCUUCUUCAUUAUUAGGAACUGACAUGUUCCAUAUAUCUUUGUUUUGUAUUAAAUCUUGGAUGAAUGAUAUCUCGGUAUGUGCUUUGCUGAUGCUUCUGUUCUUUUCUAAUAGGACAAGUAAUUAAGGGAUGGGAUCAAGGUAUUAAGACAAUGAAAAAGGCUGAAAAUGCCAUUUUCACCAUUCCUCCAGAGCUGGCUUAUGGAGAGUCUGGUUCUCCUCCAACUAUCCCUCCAAAUUCCACUCUCCAGUUUGAUGUUGAAUUGCUAUCAUGGGUGAGUGUAAAGGACAUCUGCAAGGAUGGUGGUAUCUUCAAGAAGAUCCUCACCAAGGGAGAGAAAUGGGAAAAUCCCAUGGAUCUUGACGAAGUUCUAGGUAGUCUUCUGUCUUCCUUUUAAUUUCAUCAGAGGUUUGUGUGUAUUUAUUUGGCCGAACAGUAAUAAGCAUUUGGUUUGAUCUUAUUGUUCAGUCAAGUAUGAAGCUCAGCUUGAAGAUGGAUCAUUGGUUGGAAAAUCAGAUGGAGUGGAGUUCACUGUUCAAGAAGGUAUCCAUGAGUCAUUGCAGUAUCUUGUUCACAAGGUUUAUAGAUUCACUAUCAUGCACUAACAUUAUUAUUGCGACAGGACACUUCUGCCCUGCUAUUGCGAAAGCUGUGAAAACUAUGAAGAAAGGUGAAAAAGUCCAGUUGACGGUCAAGCCACAGUGUAGGUGGUCCUUCCAAGAAAGGGUUCUUGUAUCUUCCUGUAAAGUGCUUUCACUAACAUGUCUAAUUUGUUUGCUGCAGAUGGCUUUGGGGAGAAAGGAAAACCAGCCUCAGGUGAUGGAGGAGCGGUCCCACCUAAUGCUACACUGCAAAUUAGCUUGGAGUUGGUAACAUGGAAGACUGUCUCAAGUGUAACUGACGAUAAGAAAGUAAUAAAGAAGAUCUUAAAAGAAGGGGAAGGAUUCGAGAAACCGAAUGCAGGGGCUGUGGUUAA
rnacentral:lncRNA from 1 species